AAUCAAACCCAGGACCUUCUUGCUGCAAGGCAACAGUGCUACCAACUGUGCCACCGUGCAGCCCUAACCUGAUUUCAUUUUAGAUAAAUAACACAACAAAGUAUGUCUGCUUUUGCUGUUGCAGACAGCUUCCUGCUCUCCAGUGUGGCGGCAUAUACAUUCAAAAUGAGAUCUACACAUUGACUCCAUGGGUUAAAAUGGUUGUUUUUAAGGGGAUAACAGUUUUAUUACUGCUGUUUAGGAUCAUUGUUCUGUCAUUAUAUCAAUGUUUAAUUAGCGAAAUAGCAAUUGUUUGUGUACUUGGGGCAGUGGUGGCGGCAAUGGUAGGUGUUCAUCCUGUAACGGGUGGGUUGGAUGUGAGAAUGAAUGGUUGGAUGACUGAUUGUAGUGUAAAAUGCUUUGGGGUCUCUGGGGACUUGAUAAAGCUCCAUACAAGUGCAAACCAUUUACCAUUUACUUUCACCAUCAAUGGGUUUGGUUGGUAGUUUCUCCUGUUAUUUUCUUUGAUGGAUGGUAAAACAUUCGAUAGCCAGUUGGUAAACUUGCAAAGGAAACUCAGUAAAAGAGCAAUCAAACCAAAUAACUUGUCUUGGUCUGCUACUUCGGAAAUUUGCAGACAAUCUUUCCUCUUUUUUUUAAACUUGGGCUAGUUUGAAAUCUCUUUUAGCAUGUUUCGUCUUCAUAGAAGCCUUUCGACAUUGGGUUACUUCACCCAUUUUACCAGGAAUGUCAAUACCUGUAACCUUUUUACCUACUUAGGCUUUUUCUUGUCUGUGUUUCCACUUAAGCUGGGCCGCUUACUUAGAUUAGGCCACUUGAUGCUGAGCAGCUCCUUCUCCCAGGGGGAGUACCGCUCUGAUCUGGGAACACAGGUCUCCACCCACUACAGCAGCAGAGUUCAGAAUGAGAUUAAAAACAGUAAAAUCACACCAAAACAGAAUUCAUCUCAGAUUGUUAGUGGUGGCUACUAUUUAAAAGCCACAAACUGCCGCUCCGAACUGUAAAGAAAUGUUUAGUGAGACAAGACUUUAAAUUGUCUGCUUCGUAUUUAGUUUGGGGUCCUUUAAAAAAGUUCUACCUCCCUACCAGGGCUGUUUUCAAGGCCGAUUUCUACCCAUGUACACUGAUUUUGCCCUGGUUCCUGCAGUGGAAAUGCAGCGGGGAGAAAAAACACCCCAGGAAACUAUCCUGAGGUGUUAGGUUAUGGUUUUCAUUUGUGUUCAUGAUUUUUCAGCAUUUCCCUUAUGUUCUACAGAUCUAUUUUUGCCAUUGUGUUUUGCCAUAUAGUUUUGUUUCCUUGUGUUCAUUAUUGUUAGGUGUACUUCUAUAGUUCAUUCUUUUGUGUUUUUCUUGUAAUCCUUUUACAUUUAGAUUGUUUCUUGUUAGAUCUGUUUAGCAUUUUUACUAGGGUUUUUUGUUGAGCUCCAUUCAUGUUUAUUUGUCUUUUUUCUCCUUUUCUGCUCUGCUCUUUUCUUCUAUAUCAGCUGCUUCGCAUUUUCUUCUGAUUGCUCUGCUUUCUCUUUGCCUCAGCUGCAAUUCAUUCCCUCUGAUAAGCUCUUUCUCUUCCCCUGCCUCAGUAUAUAUACUUACCGGUUCUCUUUGUUCCUCACUGGUUCCUUCUGUUUUACUGUUGUCGGGUCUGUUUUUCUGCCCCAUGCCUGAUUUUUCCAAGGGUCAAGUUGCACCUGCUAGCCUCCUUUAUUUUCUAUUUUCUUUUCGUUUUGUCUUUUAAAAGCUCUCAUUCUCACUUUGACUUUGAUCUGCAUUUGAGUCUUUACCACCCCAACAUGAUACCUGGGUUCCAAAAAGGUUCCUGCAGUGAAAACGCAGCUUAUUUUAUUUUAAUUCAGUUGUCUAAAUAAUUACCAAUUUAUUUUACUAAAUGCUUUAUUUAAAAAUAAAAGUGUCAGUACAUAUGAAGUUCCAAUUAUGCUUAGUAACUGUAUUCUUUGAAAUUUGCCAUAUUUGGUAUAGAUAACAAGAGUAUAGAACAAAUAAAGCUCCAGCCUCGUCAAUCACUGCCUUUAUUUCCCGUUGCCAUAGUGUAUAUUCUGUGAGUGUUAGCAGGCUUGUGAAUGAACAUGUAGCUGUGAAGAGUGCAUGCAGGGGUCAGUGUGCAGCGGACAGUCUGGCAUCUCAGACUGAUUUACGCACAAAAACACACUGCGGCUCGCACUCUGCAGCUCUGCCUCGCAGUGAGCCGAUGAAUUUGUGGCCUCUGCCCUGCUGGAUGUGGGAUAGGUCGAUGGCAGGUCGCAACUUGACGCCUUGACACGAGUGAAUUUGAAGGAAUGUUGGCACAGCCGUCCAGCGUAGGAGGCGGACAACACAUUCCUCCCAGCAGAAGUGCCGGGGAUAAAGGGGGAGGGGACGUCUGCUUCAGAAAAAACACACACACACUCCUCGCACCCCGCCAUAAGAAGCCAGCGGCAGCCCUCUUAGAGGAGUUAUAGUGCACCACAGCGGAAGAUUAUACAUGCUCCCUGCGGGGUCGUCCUGUUAAUGUACUAAUUAAGUUGAGAACGAUCACUAUAAUCUUUUUUAAGUGGAAACUUUUUAAUGAUCCAUUGCAACAUUUAAAGUGUUUUUAAUCAAUCUAACUGUCUUUUAUCUUAUGCGAUCAGCAGAUUUCCUUCAUGAAAUGUAAUGAACAUUCAUGAGACUGAAUGCAGUCGUCAUUAAAAGUGCUAUUUUUGCAGAUUAUUUACAGUUUGAAGGAUGAUUUGGAUCAGAUCGAUUGAAAUUGAUCACUCCAACACAGCUGGUUCAGGGGAGGGGGAGGAUCGGCUUUAGAAUGAGUGACACAGGCAAAAAUGAAGACGCGUGGAGACAGAAAGUGAAGGUUUGGCUGACGUUUUUGGCUUUGUGGUUUGAGCAUGAUGUAUUUUUACUUGAACCUUUCAGGAUUUAUGGUCUAUUUUAUGGAAUGACUACUGACAAAACAGAAAGUAGUUCUCUAAACUAAUUGUGAACAAUAAAAUCUGAAUCUUUCUGCAAAUAAAAGCAGAGCAGUCACUGUC